AGGGCGAACGCUGGCGGCGUGCUUAACACAUGCAAGUCGAGCGGAAAGGCCUUUCGGGGUACUCGAGCGGCGAACGGGUGAGUAACACGUGAGUAAUCUGCCCAUCGCUUCAGGAUAGCCAUCGGAAACGGUGAUUAAUACUGGAUAUGACAUUCCUUCGCAUGUUGGGGUGUGGAAAGUUUUUUCGGCGGUGGAUGUGCUCGCGGCCUAUCAGCUUGUUGGUGGGGUAAUGGCCUACCAAGGCUUUGACGGGUAGCCGGCCUGAGAGGGUGACCGGGCCACACUGGGACUGAGACACGGGCCCAGACUCCUACGGGAGCAGCAGUGGGGAUAUGGACAUGGCG
rnacentral:rRNA from 1 species